GGGUUGUGAGGUUAAGCGACUAAGCGUACACGGUGGAUGCCCUGGCAGUCAGAGGCGAUGAAGGGCGUGCUAAUCUGCGAUAAGCGCCGGUAAGGUGAUAUGAACCGUUAUAACCGGCGAUACCCGAAUGGGGAAACCCAGUGUGAUUCGUCACACUAUCAUUAACUGAAUCCAUAGGUUAAUGAGGCGAACCGGGGGAACUGAAACAUCUAAGUACCCCGAGGAAAAGAAAUCAACCGAGAUUCCCCCAGUAGCGGCGAGCGAACGGGGAGGAGCCCAGAGCCUGAAUCAGCAUGUGUGUUAGUGGAAGCGUCUGGAAAGGCGCGCGAUACAGGGUGACAGCCCCGUACACAAAAGCGCAUGUGCUGUGAGCUCGAUGAGUAGGGCGGGACACGUGGUAUCCUGUCUGAAUAUGGGGGGACCAUCCUCCAAGGCUAAAUACUCCUGACUGACCGAUAGUGAACCAGUACCGUGAGGGAAAGGCGAAAAGAACCCCGGCGAGGGGAGUGAAAAAGAACCUGAAACCGUGUACGUACAAGCAGUGGGAGCACCCUUUGGGGUGUGACUGCGUACCUUUUGUAUAAUGGGUCAGCGACUUAUAUUCUGUAGCAAGGUUAACCGUAUAGGGGAGCCGGAGGGAAACCGAGUCUUAACCGGGCGUUAAGUUGCAGGGUAUAGACCCGAAACCCGGUGAUCUAGCCAUGGGCAGGUUGAAGGUUGGGUAACACUAACUGGAGGACCGAACCGACUAAUGUUGAAAAAUUAGCGGAUGACCUGUGGCUGGGGGUGAAAGGCCAAUCAAACCGGGAGAUAGCUGGUUCUCCCCGAAAGCUAUUUAGGUAGCGCCUCGUGAAUUCAUCUCCGGGGGUAGAGCACUGUUUCGGCUAGGGGGCCAUCCCGGCUUACCAACCCGAUGCAAACUGCGAAUACCGGAGAAUGUUAUCACGGGAGACACACGGCGGGUGCUAACGUCCGUCGUGAAGAGGGAAACAACCCAGACCGCCAGCUAAGGUCCCAAAGUCAUGGUUAAGUGGGAAACGAUGUGGGAAGGCCCAGACAGCCAGGAUGUUGGCUUAGAAGCAGCCAUCAUUUAAAGAAAGCGUAAUAGCUCACUGGUCGAGUCGGCCUGCGCGGAAGAUGUAACGGGGCUAAACCAUGCACCGAAGCUGCGGCAGCGACGCUGAUGCGUUGUUGGGUAGGGGAGCGUUCUGUAAGCCUGUGAAGGUGGCCUGUGAGGGUUGCUGGAGGUAUCAGAAGUGCGAAUGCUGACAUAAGUAACGAUAAAGCGGGUGAAAAGCCCGCUCGCCGGAAGACCAAGGGUUCCUGUCCAACGUUAAUCGGGGCAGGGUGAGUCGACCCCUAAGGCGAGGCCGAAAGGCGUAGUCGAUGGGAAACGGGUUAAUAUUCCCGUACUUGGUGUUACUGCGAAGGGGGGACGGAGAAGGCUAUGUUGGCCGGGCGACGGUUGUCCCGGUUUAAGCGUGUAGGUGUGUGUUCCAGGUAAAUCCGGUUCACUUUAACACUGAGGCGUGACGACGAGGCACUACGGUGCUGAAGCAACAAAUGCCCUGCUUCCAGGAAAAGCCUCUAAGCAUCAGGUAACAUCAAAUCGUACCCCAAACCGACACAGGUGGUCAGGUAGAGAAUACCAAGGCGCUUGAGAGAACUCGGGUGAAGGAACUAGGCAAAAUGGUGCCGUAACUUCGGGAGAAGGCACGCUGACACGUAGGUGAAGUGAUUUACUCAUGGAGCUGAAGUCAGUCGAAGAUACCAGCUGGCUGCAACUGUUUAUUAAAAACACAGCACUGUGCAAACACGAAAGUGGACGUAUACGGUGUGACGCCUGCCCGGUGCCGGAAGGUUAAUUGAUGGGGUCAGCGCAAGCGAAGCUCCUGAUCGAAGCCCCGGUAAACGGCGGCCGUAACUAUAACGGUCCUAAGGUAGCGAAAUUCCUUGUCGGGUAAGUUCCGACCUGCACGAAUGGCGUAAUGAUGGCCAGGCUGUCUCCACCCGAGACUCAGUGAAAUUGAACUCGCUGUGAAGAUGCAGUGUACCCGCGGCAAGACGGAAAGACCCCGUGAACCUUUACUAUAGCUUGACACUGAACAUUGAGCCUUGAUGUGUAGGAUAGGUGGGAGGCUUUGAAGUGUGGACGCCAGUCUGCAUGGAGCCGACCUUGAAAUACCACCCUUUAAUGUUUGAUGUUCUAACGUGGACCCGUAAUCCGGGUUGCGGACAGUGUCUGGUGGGUAGUUUGACUGGGGCGGUCUCCUCCUAAAGAGUAACGGAGGAGCACGAAGGUUGGCUAAUCCUGGUCGGACAUCAGGAGGUUAGUGCAAUGGCAUAAGCCAGCUUGACUGCGAGCGUGACGGCGCGAGCAGGUGCGAAAGCAGGUCAUAGUGAUCCGGUGGUUCUGAAUGGAAGGGCCAUCGCUCAACGGAUAAAAGGUACUCCGGGGAUAACAGGCUGAUACCGCCCAAGAGUUCAUAUCGACGGCGGUGUUUGGCACCUCGAUGUCGGCUCAUCACAUCCUGGGGCUGAAGUAGGUCCCAAGGGUAUGGCUGUUCGCCAUUUAAAGUGGUACGCGAGCUGGGUUUAGAACGUCGUGAGACAGUUCGGUCCCUAUCUGCCGUGGGCGCUGGAGAACUGAGGGGGGCUGCUCCUAGUACGAGAGGACCGGAGUGGACGCAUCACUGGUGUUCGGGUUGUCAUGCCAAUGGCACUGCCCGGUAGCUAAAUGCGGAAGAGAUAAGUGCUGAAAGCAUCUAAGCACGAAACUUGCCCCGAGAUGAGUUCUCCCUGAGACUUAGAGUCUCCUGAAGGAACGUUGAAGACGACGACGUUGAUAGGCCGGGUGUGUAAGCGCAGCGAUGCGUUGAGCUAACCGGUACUAAUGAACCGUGAGGCUUAACCUUACAACGCCGAAG
rnacentral:rRNA from 2 species